rnacentral:rRNA from 1 species
AGUGAACGCUGGCGGUAGGCCUAACACAUGCAAGUCGAACGGCAGCACAGUAAGAGCUUGCUCUUAUGGGUGGCGAGUGGCGGACGGGUGAGGAAUACAUCGGAAUCUACUUUUUCGUGGGGGAUAACGUAGGUAAACUUACGCUCAUACCGCAUCCGACCUUCGGGUGAAAGCAGGGGAUCUUCUGACCUUGCGCGAUUGAAUGAGCCGCUGUCGGAUUAGCUAGUUGGCGGGGUAAUGGCCCACCAAGGCGACGAUCCGUAGCCGGUCUGGGGGGAUGGUACGCCCCAGUGGGAGUGAGACACCGUCCAGACGACUAAGGGAAGCCGCAGUGGGGAAUAGUGGACAAUGGGGGGAAAGCUGGACCAGCCAUAACGCGGGGGUGAAAGAAGCCUUCGGGGUGGAAAGCCCUUUUUUUGGGAAAAAAAAGCAGCCGGUUAAGACCCCGCGGGUCUGACGGUAACCAAAAAAGAAGCACCGGCUAACUUCGUG